GAUGAACGCUGGCGGCGUGCCUAAUACAUGCAAGUCGAGCGAACGGACGAGAAGCUUGCUUCUCUGAUGUUAGCGGCGGACGGGUGAGUAACACGUGGAUAACCUACCUAUAAGACUGGGAUAACUUCGGGAAACCGGAGCUAAUACCGGAUAAUAUUUUGAACCGCAUGGUUCAAUAGUGAAAGACGGUCUUGCUGUCACUUAUAGAUGGAUCCGCGCUGCAUUAGCUAGUUGGUAAGGUAACGGCUUACCAAGGCAACGAUGCAUAGCCGACCUGAGAGGGUGAUCGGCCACACUGGAACUGAGACACGGUCCAGACACCUACGGGAGGCAGCAGUAGGGAAUCUUCCGCAAUGGGCGAAAGCCUGACGGAGCAACGCCGCGUGAGUGAUGAAGGUCUUCGGAUCGUAAAACUCUGUUAUUAGGGAAGAACAAAUGUGUAAGUAACUGUGCACAUCUUGACGGUACCUAAUCAGAAAGCCACGGCUAACUACGUG
rnacentral:rRNA from 1 species